rnacentral:rRNA from 1 species
AUGGCGAGCGAAGGGAGAGCGGACUCGCAUGCGCGCCGUGGAGCCUUCGAUGGGGGGCGAACAAACUGGAGGGGGCGGGGCGAGCCAUGGAGCGAGGAGAGGGGCGGCAACUUCGGGCCGCCGGCUGGCUACCUCCCCACGCGCCGCCGUCCGGGAGCUUCCCACCACCUGGUGGUUUUGCACCGCCGCCGGGAGGUUUCGUUCCUCCGCAUGGCUACCAUGGGGGUCCUCCAUCCUUCAACAACUUCAACUCCAACCAGUCAUUUCCGCCAUACCACUUCCCGCAGACAAAUCCUCAAGGUGCGUUCAUAUCUGGUGCGCAAUAGUGGGAUGGUCCAAGAUUAG